UCUCAUAUCAGUCAACUCUACUUUUCUCUCUUUUAUCUUCCUCAAUCUUUAUUUCCGAUUCUUAGUCUUGUUCUUCAGUCCUUUCUUUUCCCUCUUCCUCUUUCUUCUCUUAUUUUUGUCCUUCAUUCUUUUCUUUUCCCUCUUCCUCAUACUCCCUUUUCUCCGUUUGUACUUGCUAUUCACGCUGUUCUUUUCCCUUCUCCUCUUCUUCUUUAUCCUCUUGUUCUUGCCGUUCAUUCUAUUUCCUCUUCCUCCUUUUGUUCUUCCUCUUUAAAUGAUUCCUUUCCCUCUUUCUCUUCUUCUUGUUCAUCCCCUUUACGGUUCCCUCCUCCAUCCUCUUCCUCGUAGCCGGCAGCCGAGUAUUACACACCUCUCUACCCCUCUCCUCAGCAACACCCCGUCACUGAUAAUCCUCGCUACAGCCUCAGGACCAUAUUAUUAAACGCAUCGGGCUCCCAUCACGGCUUUAUACUUCCAAAGGUCAUAGAGAAGGUGACCGGGUUUCCAUAGGUGAUUUUCCCGUUUAAGAUCCAGAAGAGUAAAACAAUCACUGGGAUCGCAAAACAGACUAUGAGUACCCCCAACAACUACUACGAGAGGCUUUUCAAACAGGUGAACUGAGGUGCCGAUAUGUUGAAGCUAGAAUACGGGCUUCAACCUCGCCCUUUCAGCAGUCGUGUGAUCGGGGUGCUGCUAUAGCUAAAUGCCGCUCAGGUCCCCGCUAGCUAAAUGCCGCUCAGGUCCCCGCUAGCUAAAUGCCGCUCAGGUCCCCGCUAGCUAAAUGCCGCUCAGGUCCCCGCUAGCUAAAUGCCGCUCAGGUCCCCGCUAGCUAAAUGCCGCUCAGGUCCCCGCUAGCUAAAUGCCGCUCAGGUCCCCGCUAGCUAAAUGCCGCUCAGGUACCCGCUAGCCAAAUGCCGCUCAGGUC